rnacentral:lncRNA from 1 species
GGGGGUGUUGUCCAGGCCUUGCUCCCUGGAACUUGAAGAGACCUUCAGGGUGUAGCUCCUGGUGGUGGCUGGCUGCCCGUCAUGCUCCACCCGGCAGGUG